CCUAUAUACAAGCUGGUGACUUAUUCUUUUGUUAAUAAUCUCAGCCAUGCCCCUGCUUUCUUUACGACAUUUCAUUCCUACUACUACCCUUACGUCGUCGUUUCACUCUCCUCUUUCCCUAAAUCGCUGUUUUCUCCUCCGAUUCUCUUCCAACAACAUUUCACUACCCAUGGCUGAAACAAAUAACAACCUCACUUCAAAUUCAUCACCACCAGAAUCACAGCCACGAAGUGGAGACAUGGAUGCAAAUGAUAAAAAGAAACCAAAGAGUUCACUCCUUGAGUUCAUAUCUAGUUGUAAUCAUUUACCUUCUCCAACAACCAGUACUGAUUAUGAACAAAGUAAAUUCAAGAGAAGAAAUCGCGUCGACUUAGAAAUGGGACAACGCAAUAGGAAUAACUAUAGCGAAUCAAGUUUUCGUUCCAGUUUUGAGGAUAAUAGUAAUAUAUCACCAACAAAAACAUUGUCAGUGACAAAAAAGUUCAAAAGCCACCAUAAUGAAUCACCUCAUCGAAGUCAUUUUUUGAAGAUGGGUGAUACUGCAUCAGCCGAUAGGCGAUAUAAUAAAAGGCAAAGAAAAUUUAACUAUGACAUCUGCUCUCGCGGUAAGAGAAAAUCUACAUUGACAGGAGCUACACCGCUAGAAGAGAACAAGGAUAACUGCAUUGAAUUUGAGAUGCAGGAGGAAGGAACAAAUGAAGGGAUACUGAGGCCAGGGAUGGUUCUCCUCAAACAUCAGUUAACACAUCAUGAGCAGGUAGAAAUAGUGAAAAGUUGUCGUGAUCUCGGUCUCGGUCCUGGAGGAUUCUAUCAACCAGGCUACGCAGAUGGAGCCAAACUUAGAUUGAUGAUGAUGUGUCUUGGUAUGGAUUGGGAUCCUCAAACAAGAAAUUACGGAUAUAAAAGGGUAAUUGAUGGUAGCAAGCCACCAAGUAUUCCUCCUCACUUUAGUAAGUUGGUUACAAGAGCUAUACAAGAAGCACAUCAGCUAUAUAAUCGGGAAUGCGGUAUAAGCUAUGUGGAGGAUAUACUACCUUCAAUGACUCCUGAUAUAUGCAUUGUCAAUUUUUAUUCAACUACUGGAAGGCUUGGUCUUCAUCAGGAUCGUGAUGAAAGUAAAGAAAGUCUGCAAAAAGGGUUGCCAGUUGUAUCCUUCUCUAUUGGUGAUUCAGCCGAAUUUCUUUAUGGAGAUCAAAGGGAUGUUGAGAAGGCAGAGAAUGUGCUUCUAGAAUCAGGAGAUGUUCUUAUAUUUGGUGGUGAUUCUCGACAUCUCUACCAUGGUGUCUCAUCUAUCAUACCAAAUUCAGCACCCGAGGAAUUGGUUCAAGAUACCGGCCUUUGUCCUGGUCGUCUCAAUCUUACAUUUAGACAGUAUUGACAUCUCUUAUGUAGGUCAGUAAUGUUAUCAAUGUUCAUGUAGUCAUCUAUCUUUUUUUUACAUCAGAAAAGAAACGAAACCCUCCAUAUCGUCUGAUUUUCUCGCACUCGCGCUCAAUUCGGAUCUCAUCUACGACUUCAUUUUAAAAUAUUAUUGUCCUCUAGUGAGUAGAGGAAGUAGUUUGUUGUUUACUUAAAUUCUCAUGAGUUAAUAACUGGCCACCCCCUUGUACAAUCUACAUUGAAAAUUAGUUGAUUGAAUUUAGUUUCUAGUAUAAGGUUGUUGAGCUAUAUUUAAUUUUAAAUGACAAAUUUGUUUAGUUGCAUAUAUCUGUCCUUUGUGUCCAUAAUAACUGUCCCCUAUCAAUUUAGUAAAUUAAAUUUUAGUUGGUUGAUGUUUGUUUCAUUAAAUAAUAAGUUUUCAAUGCAUUACUUUCUAGGUAGCCCCACCUUACAAGUCGGUUUUAUAGGGAUUAGAUAGACCCGACCUACACAUUCUAAGAUGGUAUCAGAACCUAUCCUAGAUCACUUGUUGGGCUUUCUGCAUCGUCCAAGCUUCGGCCUCAUUGAGGCCUGAGGGGAUGUGUUGGAGUUUCUGCCUUCAUUGUGAUCCGUCUCUAGUUGCCUAAAUUGCGGCAUUUGGCUGGCUUUAAUUGCAGUCUCCAACACCUUUAUUGUUUUAGGUUUGAAGGGGUGGUUUAGCCUCACAUUGUUUAGUGAUAUGGCAUGUGUUGUGUUUAUAAGUGGAAGCAAUCCUCACCUUACUAGCCUGUUUUGUGUAGGAAUGAGUUAGGCACAAUCCACACGUUCCAAGAAUUUGGAAUGAGCAAGAACAAUAAAUGCAGGGAAAGGAAAGCAAUACGAGAAUUGUUAAAAGUAGGAAGUGAAGUAGCAUGGAAUAAUUUAUCAUAUAACUUUAUUACAAAUGCAACUUUCAAACUGGGAAAAAAUCCAUUGUGCAAUACAACUAUAGACGAAAAUCUGAUACAAGGUUCAGAAUCCAAGACAUCCUACUCAACUUUUUCAGAUAGUUGAGAUUCCAAAUCUACAAGAAGAGUAUUAUAAAACUUACCUUGUACAGUUGGUAGAGGUGCUUAUCCUGUAGGGAAUUCUAACACCACAUUUUCCUGGGAGAGUGGCAACAUUGUUGGCGUUCAAACCAGGAAUGGAAUCAGCAGCACCUUUCAAGCAGUUGCAAGCGGCCUCUUAGGGUCGGGGUAGUUUGGGCCGCUGCGUUAAGUCUUUUCACUCCACCACAGCAUUAUGGUGAUGGACCAGGACCGCCCUUAAGAUAAGAAAUGCAUGGGACAAGGGAGCCAGUUACUGCUCCGCAUGAGACUGCAGCCUCUGCCAUUGGUGCAGUAAUAACCACCAUGCAGAUCAAUGCAACCAUACCAGAAAUUCUCAUGCUUUGCCAUUGCUUCUUUAGAGAAUGGUUUGAAAUAGGGGUGGCAAUUAAAUCCAUUAAGAGAAAAUCCAUCCAAUCCUUCUACUAAAAAAUCCAUCCACCACAUAAGAAGUAGAUUAAUGGAUUGGAUUAAAUCCAUCCAUUUAUAUACAUGGAUGGAUCCAAUCCAUCCAUCACAUUUUGGUAAUCCAAUGGAUUAUUUUUUUCUUAUACUUUAAAUUCAUUAAAUUAUUUUCAAAAAAUAAGAAAAAUUGAGUUUUUACGAAAAUAUGAAUAAUCGAGUUUUUUUUCUCGAAAAAAACGAAAAAAAAAAGAA